rfam:Bacteroidetes bacterium 4484_249 ex4484_259_scaffold_48303, whole genome shotgun sequence.
AAAGCGGUUCCCGAAAAGCUUUGAGAGAGUAGGGG